AACUCCAUCAAGCCCUGAAGCUCAGAGAGCAGCUACAGAUGCACCGUGGAGCAGAACACUGGUGUCAAGUGUAGCAUUGUGGGAAACAACUACCCUAGCAGACGCCGCUGCAACUGCUUAAUCAAGAUAUUGUCUGAAGAAACUAGCUAGUGGAUGUGAAACCACCACCAGAACACCGCCCUCGGCACUCCAGAGGAACAGAGCAGCCCAAGAAGCUGGAUUCUGAGUUGGACACUUGAGAGUCAUCAAUCUCAGCUCCUGCCCCUUGUGGAUUUUGUGAGGUCGGUGGAAUCCGGCAGAAUGACAUUGAACUUUGCUGCAAUCAGCAGAUGAGGCUCAGAGCCGGCCCCUGAAGAACCACGAGAGCCUCGGGCGUGAACUUCACCAGGACUGAGAUCUUGCUACUCACUCUCAGUCCACCUGGAGAGUCACUUCCAAGAUCUCAUCGUACAGAAAAGGCCACUGGAGAGUUCCAAACUACCAGGGCUCUGCCGGCACCAUAGCUAGCCCACUAGGUGAUGUCACAGCACAUAUUGGCUUAAGAAAGACCCCGCGUGGCUCGCCUUCCUCCUCUAAAACUUACCCCACUGCAGACGGCUUCUCUCUUAAAGAAGGAGAAAGGACGAGUAAGCUAAGGAAGAGUGACUGCAGGGAUGAGCACUUCCUUUCACCUGAUUUUCUCGCAGAACUGGGUGGUUAGUUCAGCUUGGAGCUUGCCAAGAGCUGUGCUGAAAAGACUUUAACACAAAGGAGCACUGUGAGUGCUGGCUCACAACAGUCUCAAAACGGUGGUGUGAAAGACCGAGUAUUUGCUAUCACCUCACUGGGGAUAAACGGGGCUCAGCUAAGCAGUUCUCACAUCGGGUCUGUUGGAGAACUACAGUCAGAUUAUGUCUAUGCAGAGAGUAACUUCAAGCCUGGGCUGGGAGGGCUCACACAACUAGAGGCUAGGAUGGCUGGUCUUCCUCCCACAGUGUCCCUGAGUGAUCUCUCCAGAUAACUGUCUAACUUUGAUAGCACGAGAACAGCCAGAAUCCUUACAAGGAUGCUCGGGUGAGGGAGAGAGAGCAUCAGGGAAGCCUUAUCAGACUUUGAGUCAACCUCCCAAGGCAGGCCAUCACUUCGGUCAGCUUCUGCUUGCUAGAAACAAGACAACUAAGACCAACCUGUAUUCAAAGGAUGUAUAAUUACUCUCCAGCUUUUGAUGGAGGAGUGUCUAGGAGUGUGAGAACAUGUUUUAAAGCUAUCAUUAAUGGAAAAGUAAGCAUUUGCCCAUCAAUAAAUGCUAUUAGUGACAGUCAUGGCAACGCACGCCUGUGAUCCUAGUACAGUGAAGGCUGGAGGAGGAGAAGAGGGAGUCAGCCUGGGUUACACAGUGAGACCCUGUGUCAAUAAAACUUAAAUUUCAAAACAUGUGAUUCUUUUGAAAAACCAAAUUUAGGGCUAGUCUAACCUAAUCUAGGGAUAAAACAUAAAAUGCCUAGAGUUCUGCUGUCAAAUAUGGUAUCUACUAGCAUAAUUGGAUAUCGAAACUUAAAUUAGACUUAAUUAAUUAUAAUUUAGCUUUAAGUUAAUUAAAGUUAACUAGUUAGAGUUAAUUAACUGCCAUUUAAAUUAAUUUAAAAUAUCUUAAAUAAAAAUUUCUAAAUGCCUUUCUGUCUUAACAGCCAAUUUCAAAUGCUUCAUAGAUAUAUAUACACUUGGUACCAUCAUGUUGGGUACCACAAAUAAGAAACAUUUCCAUCAUCAAAAACAGUUCUCCCAGACAAUGCAGAUUUAGAAUGAUGAAACAAUAUAUCCUUCAGCUGUCAAUCAGAAUUGCUUUCCUCUAAUUAAGCUUCAGUAGGCACUGGGCAGGAGAGACAUCUAGCUUUUAACACUGGGCAAGAGUUACCCACGGUGUUGAUGAGGGAUACUCCACACUUAAGAAUCAACCAAGCAGAUGGUAGGUUCACCUCCCUUAAGAACGGAGUCUCCAACUCAAGCCCCCAAACAGCUGGCCAGCCCUCUUCCAUGUGGAGAUUUUCCAACUAAGGGUUGCCUUCAGUCGGCUUCCUAAAAGCUAUCUGCUUUAAAAGUGUGGUGAAGAAAAAUAAAAGCAAAUCUGCAAAGCUCAUUCUCUCACUCCUUCACUCAACCAACAUGUAUUGACCUGGUAUAAAUGCUGUGUGGUUGGUGCCUGAAUAAAAAUGUGAGCGGAUUUUACUGACUCCUCAGGCCCCCAAAGCAGACACACAAAUGUCAACAGGACAGCCCCCCAAAAUUUACCUUUAAGUAGUAUCCUUUAGUAGUGAAAACAUGAGAGAGAAAAAAAAUGGAUGCAAAAUGUACCUGACAAAGAUGAGAGAAUUAGCUCACCAGAUAUAAUUAACUAGAUAGUAGUCAAUUAAAUCAUAAAUGCUAUCGGUCAAAAAAGAUGAUUUUGAGUUUAGAAAUUUUGAAUUCAAGCAAUUCUAUUUUCCAAUAAGAUAAAGGGUCCAUUUCUCGUUAGUGACAAUAAAAUUAUAUCACCAGCAUAGAGAACAGUUAUUUUUAUACUCCUUAUAAUAGGGGUGAGUGCAGCUAGAUCAUGUCCUCGUUGUUUCAAAUCAUUUAGAUACAAAUUUUAAGAGAACUGCAAGAAGCAGAGUCAGAACAGGGUUCAAUUUUUCAAAGACUAGACAGAUAACUAGAAUUGUUAUCUGAUCUAUUACCGGACCACCCCCAGCAGCUCUUGGGGCCUAUGCUCAGAUGGUAUAGAAGAAUCAUAAUCUUGCAUCCCAGCUGUAAUGAAUGAUGCAUGCACCCCAUCACCUCCCCCAUCCCUGCUCCCCCAUUCUUACGUCAUUCUCUGCCUCUGGAGGCUAGCUUGUAUAAGAGGCACCUGCGGGUUCCCUUGCCCUCUUCCCUUCUAAAGGAGUUCUGCCGAGGGGAGGCACCAGCAGGAGAUUAGAGGAUGGAAAACUAGGAGGUUAGAGUAUCUGUCCCUCCAGCUCCCUUCCUGCCAGGCCGCCAUGGGUUGGCUGCAUUCCUUAACUAAAGGCUAUAGCUCACGUCGGGCAGUGUUCUUAAUAUAGUUAUGCUCUCUGAAUUGCACUAAUCCUCACUCCCUUUGAUCAUUCAGGCCUGUGAGGCUCAGUGUCUCCCUGCUAGUGUAAGACCUUGCAGGGUUUCCUCCAAACUCUUUGUACCUUUGUACAUUGUUCUUCUAACUAUUCAGUUUGUGUCAGAAACUGAUUUCUGAUGACCCCUGAUGAUACCAAUCCAUUACUGGUUUUAUGCAUGAAGAUCAAAAAUAACCAAUUAAAUUUAUAUGCAACCUUAGAGCUCCUAAAAUGCUUCUUUUUUUUUCUUUUCUAUUUUAUUUUUCCCCCUUUGUUUUUUUGAUACAGGGUUUCUCUGUGUACCUUUGGAGCCUGUCCUGGAACUAGCUCUUGUAGACCAGGCUGGCCUCAAACUCACAGAAAUCCGCCUGCCUCUGCCUCCCAAGUGCUGGGAUUAAAAGCGUGCCACUACUGCCUGCAUCUAAAAUGUUUCUUAACACAUUAUAAAGCACAUGGUCACUGGUGCAAUAUUGUACCUAAAUCCAAUGUGUUCCUUCUAAACUGUAUUAAGCAGAGAAAAGUCUGGACUAUUGUUUAGGAAAAGCAUUUCAAUGCAAUAUCCACCAAUAUGGUGAUACUGCAGUUGGAUAGAACAGUAUCACUUCUGAAGAGAGGCAAGAAUUCAGGGUCGUCAUGGACUAUACAACGAUCAUAAAAAAUUAAAGCAAGAGGAAUGAGGGUUUAGCAGAUAAAAUAGUACUUUUUAAGAAAACUACAGCCCAAAUUGGAGCAGAAUCCGAGCCGUUCUGGAUGUGAGGAGUCUUCAAAGAUGCUUUGUAACCAACAGUACCAUAUGAAGUACCACCAGCACUUAACCAACAAAGAGACUACCGAACCCAAAGAUUACUUCAGUUAUUCUUGGACUAAGGGCUCUGAGGCUGCCCUGCUCCUGACCAUUGUGUUGCUGUAAUGAAUGAAAUUCUUGAAGUUAGACAGUCUUACUUCCAGAUCUCUGAUUCAAAAUCACUUAUAAUGUAAGAGGAAUAGUAUUUCCAGUGUGGAGUAGUUGUGGGCAUUGGGUAUAAAACUACAUGCUCAUUACAAUCACUAACUGAAAUUCAAAAACAAAACUGAAAGGGACUAGACAGACGGUUCAGCAGUUAAGACCACUUACUGCUCUAGUAGAAGAAUGGAACUCAGUUCCCUGUGCCCGUGGCAGGUGGCUUGCAACCAUCUGUAACUCCAGCUCCAAGAUAUUAGACACUCUUUUAGCACCCUCAGGCACCCAUAAACAAAUGUCUAUGCAGACACCAUGGAGGAGGAAGAAACAGACAGACAGGUACAAAUUAACAUAAAAAUAAAUGCAUAAAUAAUUAAAUGUACAAAUCACACUUAAAAGAAUAACCCAAACCGCUGGGAACCAAAGACUCCCAUCUCAAGAUGACCCAGAAAAUCAGCAAGUGCACUGGGUGCGAUGGAGAACAGGCUGGUAAAGUAACCCAACCCAUGGGUUGCCUACAGUUCAAGAACAUAAGUAAUGGACGAAUUCCCUUGUUCUCUAAGGAAUAGUGACCUAAGAGAAUCAUCUAUUUCUGGAAGAGCUCUGGGUUUCCAUCUUCUCCCAAUAUGUUUCAGGGUUAAUUAACACACCCUCUGCCCCCCCCAUAGUGAUUGUUUCUUAUUCUACAAAAUACCUGGGAAGCCAGAG